AAUGAACGUUGGCGGCGUGGAUUAGGCAUGCAAGUCGAGCGAUAACCUCGCAAGAGGGAAAGCGGCAAACGGGUAGUAAUGUGUCGGAACGUGCCCUCUGGACGGGGAUAGCGGCGGGAAACUGCCGGUAAUACCCGAUGAACUCCGCCCCUGUGAUGGGGCCGAGCAAAGGUGUGAUUCCGCCGGAGGAGCGGCCGACAUGGUAUUAGCUGGUUGGCGGGGUAAUGGCCCACCAAGGCUGNGAUGCCUAGGGGAUGUGAGAGCAUGAUCCCCACCAUUGGGACUGAGACACUGCCCAGACACCGUACGGGUGGCUGCAGUCGAGAAUCUUCGUCAAUGGGCGAAAGCCUGAACGAGCGACGCCG
rnacentral:rRNA from 1 species